ensembl:snoRNA
UUUUCCUAUACUUUUUUAAAGAGUUUUGACAAAGCCUUACAGAUAGGUGAAAACAGUAAAUCCUCUUUUGCAACCCAGAACUCAUUGUUGAGUGAGAUUUUUGAUAUAUGUGAGAAGGAGUAUG